rnacentral:siRNA from 1 species
UCUGGUCGAUGGAACAAUGUA